rnacentral:lncRNA from 1 species
GUAUUCUGUGGACCCCGUCAAUGGGGGUUAAACGUUGGUCAUAGUCGAGGCUGUUGAGUUACGAGUGUUUUGAAUCGAAUCGGAUUUAUAAUUAUAUUAUAUGUGAAUAUUUGAAAUUAUUAGAUUUGCAUUAAAUCAGCAUGAAAUAUAUUUUUAUGUUUAUUUGCAGUAUUAUUCUUGAAAAUUAUAUAAUAUCUGAAAUAUCUGGUAGAGAUACUUGUUACUUACUGGGCU